rnacentral:rRNA from 1 species
GUGGGGAAUAUUGGACAAUGGGCGAAAGCCUGAUCCAGCCAUGCCGCGUGUGUGAAGAAGGUCUUCGGAUUGUAAAGCACUUUAAGUUGGGAGGAAGGGCAGUAAGUUAAUACCUUGCUGUUUUGACGUUACCGACAGAAUAAGCACCGGCUAACUUCGUGCCAGCAGCCGCGGUAAUACGAAGGGUGCAAGCGUUAAUCGGAAUUACUGGGCGUAAAGCGCGCGUAGGUGGUUUUGUAAGUUGGAGGUGAAAUCCCCGGGCUCAACCUGGGAACUGCCACCAAAACUGCAUGACUAGAGUACGGUAGAGGGUAGUGGAAUUUCCUGUGUAGCGGUGAAAUGCGUAGAUAUAGGAAGGAACACCAGUGGCGAAGGCGACUACCUGGACUGAUACUGACACUGAGGUGCGAAAGCGUGGGGAGCAAACAGGAUUAGAUACCCGUGUAGUCC